CAUUUUGCUUAUGAGAGAGACGCAGCCCAUGGUGAUUCGCCUUGUCCUUGUUUCACUGCUUCUUGUGGUAGAACAUGGUUUGGGAGAUUACUGCGCGGGUGAAACUUCUUAGAGAGACAAGUUGAGAAAGCAAUACGAAAUUGAGCAAUAACAGGUCUGUGAUGCCCUUAGAUGUCCGGGGCCGCACGCGCGCUACAAUGACGGUACCAGCGAGUAUGAUCUCCUGGUCCGAAAGGAUUAGGCAAACUGUUCCAUGACCGUCGUGACAGGGAUCGGGGUUUGUAAUUAUCCCCCGUGAACGAGGAAUUCCCAGUAAGUGCAAGUCAUAAGCUUGUGCUGAUUACGUCCCUGCCCUUUGUACACACCGCCCGUCGCUACUACCGAUUGAAUGGUUUGGCAAGGCCUUCGGAUUGGUGCCAUUGUAACAGCUCGUCUGUUCGACAGGUGCCGAGAAGAGGACCAAACUUGAUCAUUUAGAGGAAGUAAAAGUCGUAACAA
rnacentral:rRNA from 1 species